rnacentral:lncRNA from 1 species
AUGGUACCUGCUGUCUUGCAGCCAGCCCUUCCCAGGGCACUAGAGCUGGUGUCCGAAAUGUCAUCUUCUUUAUACGGAUCUUCUUUCUACAGCUCUGCCCUGGAUGCUAUCCAGGAAGCCCUGCAGCUUCUGGAGGCUGUUAAGCCAGAGGCUCAGGCCAAGAAUCGGCUUCUGGACGAUAAAGCCCAGGCACUGCUGUGGUUCUACAUCUGUACCUUGGAGGCCAAAAUGCAGGAAGGUAUUGAGCGGGAUCGGAGAGCCCAGGCUCCUAGUAACCUGGAAGAAUUUGAAGUCAAUGAUCUCAACUAUGAAGAUAAACUCCAGGAAGAUCGUUUCCUAUACAGUAACAUCGCCUUUAAUCUGGCUGCAGAUGCAGGUGAGAGCAGUAACCAGCCUGCCAUGGGCACUCAGUGUUUCCUGAGAGCAGAGCAGAGACCCCUGGUGUGGAAGAGGCGGGGCCAGGGUGGGCAGAGGAUGUUAUGGAGAAACCAAGUUCUCUCCAGAUGGCCCAUGCAGACAGACUGGUUAUUUUUUCUGGCCUACAGCUCAGUCCAAAUCCCUGGACCAAGCCCUGGCUCUGUGGAAGGAGGUCCUUACAGAGGGGGAGACCCAAGCUGUCCGGUGUCUCCAGCAGACAGCAGCCUCGCUGCAGAUCCUCGUGGCCCUCUAUCAGCUGGUGGCAAAGGUAACACGGCUGGGCAUCGACAGAGGCCCCUACAGAUAGGGCUAACCCAAAUCAGAGCUCCCUCCCCUUCACUGGCCUGUGAGCCUGCUGAGAAGCCCCAUAACCACUGAUUCAGAGCUAGGCUUCGACACCAGGCUCCCAGACUUUAAAUCCAGGCUUUAUCAUUUAUUGGUAAAUGGCCUCAGACAAGUAGCUUAACCCUAACCCUGGAAGUCCAAGUUUCCUUAUCUUUAAAGAGGGACAAUAGAAAUACUAUUUCAAGGUGUUAUCAUUCAGUUCAAUAAUGCAUGGAAGAUGUUUUGUAUAAACAGAAGACUCAAAUGUUAGCUGGAAUUAUUAACAAUUGCCAGAUAAUUGAGGCUUAAAUACUGAGAAAAAUAAACAUAGGUUUACGCCUUUACAUUCAAUUGCAGGGGGCUUUAUACACUUUGUGAAGCUCUUCCUUGGACCUUGCAUUAGGACAUUUAAAACAAAAAGCAAAAAAUGUUGCACAUAAAGGAGCUUUGAUUCCGUGGUCUUUAGGCCAUAUUGCAGCACAAGGAGCCUGGGAAGUUACCUCAGCUCUAGGUUUGAAUCUUGGUUCUACCAAAUACCCGUUAUGAAAACUUAGAUGUGCAACCUCACCUGUGUGAGUUCUUAUUUCCUGUGCUGUAAAACUAGGAUCAGAGUUGUUCUGAAGCUUGAAUGAAUUGUUGCAUGUAACCUCUUGGUGCAGUGCCUGACAUAUGGUGGUAGGCACAGUAAGUCCUAGCUAUUCCUGAUGGUUGGCAUCUAGGCUUUUAAACAGAAGGGGUGGGUGCUUUGCAGGCUGCCUUUGCAAGCUGAUGGAGUGUGGCUUGGAGUGUAGCCACACUCCAUCUGGCCAAGGUGUGCAGUGCUGGGGGGAGAGGGUAGAAAUGGAGGCUUGCAUAGGAGCAGAGUCAACUUGCUACUUUUGGCUGGCCAGCCCCUGCAGGCCCUGGAGGCCCUCCUGCUCCUACGGAUUGUCUCUGAGAGACUGAAGGACCACUCGAAAGCAGCCAGCUCCUCUUGCCACCUCACCCAGGUCCUCCUGAGCCUCGGCUGUCCCAGCUAUGCCCAGGUGAGCAGCAGCAAGCAGAACCUGGGGCCUGCAGGUCAUACGUGGCUUAGAGGCCCAUCUUUCCCCCUGAAAAGACAGGAAAUGGAAAGGGCAGCUUCUCUGCCUUCUACCACUACAUUGGCUGAAAGGCUGGAGGUUGUGGAGUGGUGGCAGGCAGCUAUGGGAAGAGGAGGCUUCUUCUUAGUGUAAAAACUGAUUAUUCAUAGAUCUUACAGUUCUACUCCAGGAAUCUACUGCCCAUGUUGCAUUUCCCAGCUGUUGCUGUGCAACUGUCACAAUGUCUCCUACUUGGUCUCCUUGCUGUUCUUCUUUUUUGUUUGUUUACUUUCUUGUGGUACAGGGGAUCAAACCCUAGACAAGACCUAGACAAGUGCUCUACUACUGACUUACAUCACCAAUUCUAGUUCUUCCCUUUCUGACUUCAUCUUCUAACCACUACUCACAGGCACAGGUCUGAUCUCACCUCUUUCCCAUGUUAAAGAUUUCCAUGGUUUGCUUCUCCCUUACUGAAGCACAUUAUCCAGACUCAACUUUUCUGCUACUUGCUACCAUGUACUUUAUGCAAAUUCACAUCCCUUACUUUCUGUUCCCUGUAUGUACCUGUCUCUGGAAAUGUACCUCUCCCUGCUUCCCUUUUUCUCAUUUUGCAAAUCUCUGUGCUCUUUUCAGGGCUUUGGCCCAAUUGUUGC